GAACGGCAGCACGGGAGCUUGCUCCUGGUGGCGAGUGGCGAACGGGUGAGUAAUGCGUCGGAACGUACCGAGUAAUGGGGGAUAACGCAGCGAAAGUUGUGCUAAUACCGCAUACGCCCUUUGGGGGAAAGCAGGGGAUCGCAAGACCUUGCGUUAUUCGAGCGGCCGACGUCUGAUUAGCUAGUUGGUGGGGUAAUGGCUCACCAAGGCGACGAUCAGUAGCGGGUCUGAGAGGAUGAUCCGCCACACUGGAACUGAGACACGGUCCAGACUCCUACGGGAGGCAGCAGUGGGGAAUUUUGGACAAUGGGGGCAACCCUGAUCCAGCCAUUCCGCGUGAGUGAAGAAGGCCUUCGGGUUGUAAAGCUCUUUCAGCUGGAACGAAACGGUAGUCUCUAACAUAGGCUGCUAAUGACGGUACCAGCAGAAGAAGCACCGGCUAACUACGUGCCAGCAGCCGCGGUAAUACGUAGGGUGCGAGCGUUAAUCGGAAUUACUGGGCGUAAAGCGUGCGCAGGCGGAUUGUUAAGCAAGACGUGAAAUCCCCGGGCUUAACCUGGGAAUGGCGUUUUGAACUGGCAGUCUAGAGUGUGUCAGAGGGGGGUAGAAUUCCACGUGUAGCAGUGAAAUGCGUAGAGAUGUGGAGGAAUACCGAUGGCGAAGGCAGCCCCCUGGGAUAACACUGACGCUCAUGUACGAA
rnacentral:rRNA from 1 species